GGUGGAUGUAGCUCAGUUGGUUAGAGCAUCGGUUUGUGGUACCGAGGGUCGUCGGUUCGAGCCCGAUCUUCCACCC
rnacentral:tRNA from 1 species